GACGAACGCUGGCGGCGUGCUUAACACAUGCAAGUCGAACGAAGAGCGAUGGAAGCUUGCUUCUAUCAAUCUUAGUGGCGAACGGGUGAGUAACGCGUAAUCAACCUGCCCUUCAGAGGGGGACAACAGUUGGAAACGACUGCUAAUACCGCAUACGAUCUAAUCUCGGCAUCGAGGAUAGAUGAAAGGUGGCCUCUACAUGUAAGCUAUCACUGAAGGAGGGGAUUGCGUCUGAUUAGCUAGUUGGAGGGGUAACGGCCCACCAAGGCGAUGAUCAGUAGCCGGUCUGAGAGGCUGAACGGCCACAUUGGGACUGAGACACGGCCCAGACUCCUACGGGAGGCAGCAGUGGGGAAUCUUCCGCAAUGGACGAAAGUCUGACGGAGCAACGCCGCGUGAGUGAUGACGGCCUUCGGGUUGUAAAGCUCUGUUAAUCGGGACGAAAGGCCUUCUUGCGAAUAGUGAGAAGGAUUGACGGUACCGGAAGAGAAAGCCACGGCUAACUACGUG
rnacentral:rRNA from 1 species